GGGUGAUGACCCCCAAGUCCCCAGAGUCAUCGCAUGAUGGAUGGUCAAACCUCAGAGAAGUCUGAGCU
rnacentral:snoRNA from 1 species